rnacentral:rRNA from 1 species
UACGUAGGGGGCAAGCGUUGUCCGGAUUUAUUGGGCGUAAAGGGCGCGUAGGCGGUUCGAUAAGUCCCGUGUGAAAUCCCUCGGCUCAACUGAGGAAUGGCACGGGAAACUGACGGGCUUGAGUUCGGGAGAGGGAAGCGGAAUUCCGGGUGUAGCGGUGAAAUGCGUAGAUAUCCGGAGGAACACCGGUGGCGAAGGCGGCUUCCUGGACCGACACUGACGCUGAGGCGCGAAAGCUAGGGGAGCAAACGGG